GGCAGAAUAGCUCAAUUGGAAAGCUUUGGCUAAGAGCAUCUCACAUGUUUCAAGAAGGUCCCAGGUUCAAUCCCUGGUUCAAUCC